CCUACGGGUGGCUGCAGUGGGGAAUCUUAGACAAUGGGCGAAAGCCUGAUCUAGCCAUGCCGCGUGGGUGAUGAAGGCCUUAGGGUCGUAAAGCCCUUUCGCCGGGGAAGAUAAUGACGGUACCCGGUAAAGAAACCCCGGCUAACUCCGUGCCAGCAGCCGCGGUAAUACGGAGGGGGUUAGCGUUGUUCGGAAUGACUGGGCGUAAAGCGCGCGUAGGCGGAUCGCAAAGUUGGGGGUGAAAGCCCAGGGCUCAACCCUGGAAUUGCCGUCAAGACUCGCGGUCUGGAGUUCGAGAGAGGUGGGUGGAAUUCCGAGUGUAGAGGUGAAAUUCGUAGAUAUUCGGAGGAACACCAGUGGCGAAGGCGGCCCACUGGCUCGACACUGACGCUGAGGCGCGAAAGCGCGGGGAGCAAACAGGAUUAGAUACCCCAGUAGUC
rnacentral:rRNA from 1 species